CAGUAGCCGCGGGAAAACGAAGGGGGCAAGCGUUGUUCGGAAUUACUGGGCGUAAAGGGCGCGUAGGCGGCCAUUCAAGUUAGAUGUGAAAGCCCUGGGCUCAACCUAGGAAUUGCAUUUGAUACUGUUUGGCUUGAGUUCGGGAGAGGUGAGUGGAAUUCCCAGUGUAGAGGUGAAAUUCGUAGAUAUCGGGAGGAACACCUGUGGCGAAAGCGGCUCACUGGACCACAACUGACGCUGAGACACGAAAGCUAGGGGAGCAAACAGGAUUAGAUACCCGCGUAGUCCCUGUCUCUUAUAC
rnacentral:rRNA from 1 species